rnacentral:lncRNA from 1 species
AAUUUUCGGUAGAGAAAUGGCCUUAAAUGACCUUAAACCAAGUUUUUCUUCCCAAUCUAACACUAAGGUCCAAAUCACCAAACUAGGUUUAAUUUAAUAGGAUCAUUUAACUUUAUGUCCCUUUCCUUCUCUAAUUACAUUAAAUAAAAAAUUGAAAAUUUAACCUAAAAUCACGACGUCGUCUCUGAUCUCCCACAUCAUCAUCUCCGGUGUGACUCAUCUCCACGGCCAUUAGUUCUAGCAUCGCUCAUCUCCGCCGCCAUUAUCUCCGUUGCCAUUAUCUACGUUUGUCUCUUGCUGCUCCGCUGUCUCAGUUAUACUUUUGAUUUCGUCGUAUUAAAGGUAUCUCAUAUCAAUGUUACUUUUUCAGUUCUCAAUUUGAUGAAGCAGUUAUGGUAUUGAUCCAUUUGAUGGAUUCUUGUAAUUUUGGUUUCAGCAAGAGUGAUUAUGUUGUUUUGAAUUGUUUUGAAUUACUUUCAUUAGACAGAGAUAUAGUACAUCACUAGCAAUGUUUGCUAAGAUUCACUUUGGCUGCAAAAGAAUCAAAUUAUUCUGUGAACAACAAGCUAAUAUACAUGAAAUGUGAUCAUUGUUAUUUUUGAUUUGUAUGUUUUUGGUUUUAGAUGAAUCAACUGGUCUAACCAUAUUUGUUUGGCCACUUCUUCCAUAAUUACUAAAGUCUGGAGUUGUCCCCUUGCUUCUAUGGAGAAUCAGACUGUUAAGCUUUAGCUUGUGACGAUUUUUUUUUUUGUAUUGUAGCUCAGUUAGCAAAAUAUAAAUUUCUGAUACAAUGACAUUAGAAAAUUUUAUUAUCUGAUUGGUUGAAACUUUUCGUUUGAUAUGUAAUGAUUUUAUUAGCUUAUGCCGAAAGGCAAUUUAAUCUGAAUGUCUUUUUUUUUUGCAUUUUCUUAGGUAUUAGGUUCUUUUUCACUCAUCACGCAUGUACCAUAAGGCGAAACACACUUUUGUUCACCAUCUUUUUGACGUUUUACUGUAUGAAAUAAUAUUUUAUUGUUAUGCUCUUUGAUUGAAAUAGUUUCAACAUGUAAGCAAUAACAAAUAUGAUCUUCAGACUCAAAACUUAUUUUAUUGUAUGAUUGGAAGAUCUUAGAGAAUCAAAGCUACUUCUCAUUCUAUUCAUGAUAGCCUACAAAUUAUGUACUAAACUUUCCAAAACAAUUUGAAAUUUACAGGUUCUUUCUGAUUCAUCUAGUUGUACCAAGCUAGCUUGUGAUACAUGUGCUUUUUCAGUUAUCUUGAAUUUUAUUCAAAAUUUA